AGCAAAGUCAUUAAACAAGGAUGAAUUUGGUGAAGUUAGUGGAUCAUGGCCUGCAUAUUGCUUGGCACUGUCAUUGAGAAGGCUAGGAGAGCUGCUGCUAUUUGUCAUCCUCUGCAUCAUGGGAUACUUGGAUUCAGCAGGACUUCCAAAUCCAUUAACGCCAAUGAAGCUGGUGCUAAAGUAAGAAUCUGUGAGACUAGCAUCAGCUAACCCACCGCCAUCCAUUCCAGGAAUCGCCAGCCGCGGGCCAUCCAGCCCCGCGCCGCCGCCGCCGCCUCCUCCGCCGCCGCCUCCCGCCCCCAGCUCGGCUUUCUUCG
rnacentral:lncRNA from 1 species